rnacentral:lncRNA from 1 species
GGCCUGCGCAUGCGCGCGCCCCAGGGCCCAGCCCUGUUCCUGCUCCGGCUCCUGCGGGGAUGGAUGCUUCACGCAGUAAGCGACCUAAGUCGCGGAAGCGUAGACACCCGGCUUUUCCCGCGUGCUCUAUCGGGCUCCCCUGGACACGGAGGGUGGAGCAGAAAGAGCAGAGGGGCCGGUGGGAGCCAUGGGGAGUCCGCCUAGCUCCAGAGGACACCUUACCUGGAUCCGCCUUUGUAGCCUCCUCCUGGCUCUGGGGGCUGUCCUGUGGGGUCCGAGUAGCUGAAAGACAGCCCCUCCAUGAAAGUGCUGCUUUCAACAUCUGCCACAUUUGCAAGAAGAGCAAAGGUGGCCCAUUUGAGACCACCCUUGAACUAAACCAUCCAGUGAGCCCCUGAGGUCGGGACAGAAGUGGCCAUGACCUUCCUCAAGCAGGGACUGUGGUGGAGCCCACCUUAUCCAGCACAAGGUGGCCUGCUGACUUCUGGUGACAGUGAUGCCAACUUCCUGGCUGUCCAAGAAGCUGACAAGUACCUGCCGGAAAAACUGCCUCUUUUCCCUCCCGUGCUUGGAGCAGGCAUUGCUGACAGAUCACAGCUGCUGGGCCCAAAGGUCCCUUUGCACGCGGGACUUCAGGAAGUUGCUGCUGACCUAUGGGAGUUGGUGCAGAAAGAUGAAAUUUGUUAUCCUUGGCUGUAUCAACUCUCUCUCCUCUCCUUGGUGGUGAUAGUUUUGUUCUUAAAAGCCUCUUGUGAGAGAAUUUGUGGAUGAAGAACCUGUAAGAUCACAAGUGAAACAAUUUAUUGAUGUCAAUAGAUUUAUACACGUUCAUUAAGAAUCAAAACUAAACUAAAA